rnacentral:rRNA from 1 species
UGGGGAAUAUUGCACAAUGGGCGAAAGCCUGAUGCAGCAACGCCGCGUGAGUGAUGAAGGCCUUCGGGUUGUAAAGCUCUGUCUUCUGGGACGAUAAUGACGGUACCAGAGGAGGAAGCCACGGCUAGCUACGUGCCAGCAGCCGCGGUAAUACGUAGGUGGCAAGCGUUGUCCGGAUUUACUGGGCGUAAAGGAGGCGUAGGCGGAUACUUAAGUCAGAUGUGAAAAUCCCGGGCUUAACUUGGGAACUUCAUUUGAAACUGGGUAUCUAGAGUGCGGGAGAGGAAAGUGGAAUUCCUAGUGUAGCGGUGAAAUGCGUAGAGAUUAGGAAGAACACCAGUGGCGAAGGCGACUUUCUGGACCGUAACUGACGCUGAGGCAUGAAAGCGUGGGGAGCAAACA